UGGCGUGGAAGCUACUGCCAGGAAGAGACAGCAAGAGAAAUGGAGAUGCAGUGGAGGGCCGUGGGUUCCCGUUCUCCAUGACGGAAAUCCGGCACUUUGAGCCUCCAAACCUGCUCCGAUCUGUAUCAAAUUUUGAGAGGGAGUUCAAUUCGUCGAGAUGAGCAUCACUGCGGAGUCGGAUUCCGAAUCCAAUGGCUGGAUUUUCGGAUUUUGGUGAGCAUUUAUUGCAAAAAAUCAUCUUCCACGGCUAAACACUAAUGCUAUCAAGAACGCUGGACCGACCAUUUGAAGAAUAGGCUUGUGAUUACAAGGUACCUUGAGCAACACCUCUACCAAGGCUUGCGAAUACAUGUUACCUGGAGCAACACCUUCUUUACGAAUGAGCGGGACCUUCCCACGGACGAUGAGACCAGUGCUUACUCUCAUUAUUCCUAAUUUCAAAGGCAUGUAAUUGGGAUUCUCAUUAUCGCUAAUUUCAAAGAUAUGUACUGAUCGAGGACUCUCAUUUAUCCUUAAUUUGGCGAUUUCUUUAGCUGGUCAUGUGUUCAGGAAUUGAACUAAUUGCAUUUGGAUCAAUGUAGGGAAUCAAAGAAGCAAACUCGGCCAUCAAUGCCUCAAGGUCAUCUCCCCGAACGGAGUGAUCACUAGUCUCAUCAUCUAUGAGAAGGUGUCGCUCAAGGUAGAGAAGGUGUCACUUAAUGUCACUUGUAGUCACAGGCCUCUUCUUCAAGUGGUUGUUCCAGCCGUUUUUAAUAACAUUAGCAGAUCGGUCAGGAAGAUGAUAUUUUGCCAUAGAUGCCCAAUUGCAGCACAACACAGGAAGUCCUACCACAGACUCAAGGUGUGUUUUGUAUUAUGUUGAGGGUUUGUAGGUUGAUUUCUGAGUAUUGAGCAAUAUUCUCAUAUGAUGAUAGUGCUAAAUCCUCUCAUCAUCCACUGCAUCAACUCCAUACUCCAAUUUUCUUACUUUUAACUCUUUUGAUCUAACCUUUAAUCACAUAAUUCAACUUUAGAGUG